GACGAACGCUGGCGGCGUGCUCAACACAUGCAAGUCGAACGAAGAGCGAUGGAAGCUUGCUUCUCUCAAUCUUAGUGGCGAACGGGUGAGUAACGCGUAAUCAACCUGCCCUUCAGAGGGGGACAACAGUUGGAAACGACUGCUAAUACCGCAUACGAUCUAAUCUCGGCAUCGAGGAUAGAUGAAAGGUGGCCUCUACAUGUAAGCUAUCACUGAAGGAGGGGAUUGCGUCUGAUUAGCUAGUUGGAGGGGUAACGGCCCACCAAGGCGAUGAUCAGUAGCCGGUCUGAGAGGAUGAACGGCCACAUUGGGACUGAGACACGGCCCAGACUCCUACGGGAGGCAGCAGUGGGGAAUCUUCCGCAAUGGACGAAAGUCUGACGGAGCAACGCCGCGUGAGUGAUGACGGCCUUCGGGUUGUAAAGCUCUGUUAAUCGGGACGAAAGGCCUUCUUGCGAAUAGUGAGAAGGAUUGACGGUACCGGAAUAGAAAGCCACGGCUAACUACGUG
rnacentral:rRNA from 1 species